rnacentral:rRNA from 1 species
AGAGGGUGCAAACGUUGUUCGGAAUUACUGGGCGUAAAGCGCGUGUAGGCUGCUUCGCAAGUCGGGUGUGAAAGCCCUGGGCUCAACCUAGGAAGUGCACUCGAAACUGCGAAGCUGGAGUCCUGGAGAGGAAGGCGGAAUUCUCGGUGUAGAGGUGAAAUUCGUAGAUAUCGAGAGGAACACCGGUGGCGAAGGCGGCCUUCUGGACAGUGACUGACGCUGAGACGCGAAAGCGUGGGGAGCAAACAGGAUUAGAUACCCUGGUAGUCCACGCCGUAAACGAUGGGUGCUAGGUGUCGCGGGCUUUGACCCCUGCGGUGCCGUAGCUAACACAUUAAGCACCCCGCCUGGGGAGUACGGCCGCAAGGCUA